AUACGGAGGAUCCGAGCGUUAUCCGGAUUUAUUGGGUUUAAAGGGAGCGUAGGCGGACGCUUAAGUCAGUUGUGAAAGUUUGCGGCUCAACCGUAAAAUUGCAGUUGAUACUGGGUGUCUUGAGUACAGUAGAGGCAGGUGGAAUUCGUGGGGUAGCGGGGAAAUGCUUAGAUAUCACGAAGAACUCCGAUUGCGAAGGCAGCCUGCUGGACUGUAACUAACGCUGAUGCUCGAAAGUGUGGGUAUCAAACAGGAUUAGAUACCCUGGUAGUCCACACAGUAAACGAUGAAUACUCGCUGUUUGCGAUAUACAGUAAGCGGCCAAGCGAAAGCGUUAAGUAUUCCACCUGGGGAGUACGCCGGCAACGGUGAAACUCAAAUGAAUUGACGGGG
rnacentral:rRNA from 1 species